rnacentral:rRNA from 1 species
GACGAACGCUGGCGGCGUGCUUAACACAUGCAAGUCGAACGGAAGGGCCCUGCUUUUGUGGGGUGCUCGAGUGGCGAACGGGUGAGUAACACGUGAGUAACCUGCCCUUGACUUUGGGAUAACUUCAGGAAACUGGGGCUAAUACCGGAUAGGAGCUCCUGCUGCAUGGUGGGGGUUGGAAAGUUUCGGCGGUUGGGGAUGGACUCGCGGCUUAUCAGCUUGUUGGUGGGGUAGUGGCUUACCAGGGCUUUGACGGGUAGCCGGCCUGAGAGGGUGACCGGCCACAUUGGGACUGAGAUACGGCCCAGACUCCUACGGGAGGCAGCAGUGGGGAAUAUUGCACAAUGGGCGGAAGCCUGAUGCAGCAACGCCGCGUGCGGGAUGACGGCCUUCGGGUUGUAAACCGCUUUCGCCUGUGACGAAGCGUGAGUGACGGUAAUGGGUAAAGAAGCACCGGCUAACUACGUG